AUCUAGAUAGUUUAAUUUGGAGAAUAAUAAUUUGUGGUGUUUUAGGUGUAGUUUAACUCUAGAUU
rnacentral:tRNA from 1 species